GGGGAAUAUUGGACAAUGGGCGAAAGCCUGAUCCAGCAAUGCCGCGUGAGUGAUGAAGGCCUUAGGGUUGUAAAGCUCUUUUACCAGGGAUGAUAAUGACAGUACCUGGAGAAUAAGCUCCGGCUAACUCCGUGCCAGCAGCCGCGGUAAUACGGAGGGAGCUAGCGUUGUUCGGAAUUACUGGGCGUAAAGCGCACGUAGGCGGCGAUUCAAGUCAGAGGUGAAAGCCCGGGGCUCAACCCCGGAACUGCCUUUGAAACUAGAUUGCUAGAAUCCUGGAGAGGUGAGUGGAAUUCCGAGUGUAGAGGUGAAAUUCGUAGAUAUUCGGAAGAACACCAGUGGCGAAGGCGACUCACUGGACAGGUAUUGACGCUGAGGUGCGAAAGCGUGGGGAGCAAAC
rnacentral:rRNA from 1 species